AUGAAUUAUGGAUUUUUUUGGAUUUUGUAAUUCAGAAAUCUAAGGCGUUUUGCAUUAUUUUUUUGGAUUACGUAAUCUGAGCAACACCAACUCUGAACAUCAAUGAUUAGAGAAAUGACCCCAGAAUGCUGCAAUGAUUAGGCUUGCUGGGGAAGGGAGCUGGUUUCAUCAAUUUCAAGUGGUUGCUCUGUUUCGAACUUCACCUUUUCCCUACACUAUAUUCAAUUAUGCUGUAGUAGUGACAGAUAUGAAGUUCUGGCCUUACUUUUGUGGAUCAGUAGCAGGAAUGGUGCCAGAAGCUUUUAUCUACAUCUACAGUUUUGUUUUUUUAUUUUCUCUUUAUGAUAGUUUAAAUAGUAGCAGGAUGCAAAGCUAGAAGAUUGUCCUCAUGUAAAUCAAAACAUACACAUUUUUCCAAACCUUAUUUGAGAAUAUUUUUAAGAUGCAUUGGUCCAUCCCUUCUCUAGCUAUCACCCUUUUAGGAAGAUAGACCAAGAGACAAAUGAAAUUAGAACUUUUUUUUCA